UCAGGGCCCACCGGGGACUUCUCAUCGACCCAGUAGCUGAACGAGUCAUGGGAGCCUGCGUGGAGAGCAACAAAGGUGGGGAACCAGCUUCCAAUGUAAUUGCCAAGUCCUACUGAUACUUUCUGCGCUAUGUCUCCUGUGUCUUCCCUUUUCCUGCUUCCAUACUGACACUCUCCUUCUCAGACAAAACAGGCCAUUGAAGGUUUUGAGAAGAGACUCACGUUGUAGUUUAGGAAGAAUGGCUGGAGAAAUGCAGUCCUUUAAGGAAAUCACUGAAAUCAGUUAUCUAAGCAAGAAAAAGGGAAUGCAACAAACCUCAGGGAUGAUCAUAUUUUUGGCAAAUAGUUCAGAAUUUUGGCAGAUGCCCAAAUGGAAGAGGAUCUGGCGUGGACAUAUGCUUGAAACCAUUGUCGUCACCUCAGUCAGUGAACUAAAAUGAAAAAUAAAAACACCGCAAGUACUUUUUUAAUAACAGCAGCCUCAUUUGCACUUCUUACAUAAGCAAGAACAUUCCUACAGAUCGCAUGGGGUAUGAGCAUGACUUCACUUCAUUCUUGCUCAGUUUCAGGCAUGCAGAUGAAAGGGGCUGAGUUGCUGGGAAAACAGGUCACUCACUUCUGACAUCCACUGCAGCUGCAGUAAAGGCUUGGCUAGAGGGCAAUUAUGUU